rnacentral:lncRNA from 1 species
CAUCAAUCAAUCAAGCAAUGAUCUUAUUUUUGAGAGUUGGCAUAAUUAUCCAAGGAGUCUGACAAUGUUCCAUUUGGAAUAUUCAAAUGUUCUAUUUGGAAUAUUCAAAUAUUCUAUUUGGAAUAUUCAAAAACAGUAAGACAUCCAUGGAUAAAAGGCAGAAGGUGUCAGGGAAAAGGUGGUUGAUUACAAUAUAUUUUUGUUUUGUUUUUGGAGAGGAAGAAAGUUUGUGAUGGGGGACUAGCAAACUGAUUAAUAUUUUGGAGCUUAUAAAAUGUGUAUGAAAGCUUCCCUCUCUGAGAUAGAUCUAGUUCUGGAUUUUAUCUGAUUUUCAUGACCUGGGGGACUCAUGUGGUCAAGAAAAUUUCCCAAGAUCCUGAUAGUUUAUGUCUUAACUUAUAUUACCUCUGGUCUUUUAGUGCCUCAGCUGUGGAAGGAUGAAAAUAUUCAGAAUGUGGUCGUUUCUGAAGCCAUCACUUUUCCAAAUGCCCUGUUCUUUGAAAGGGGCUGUUAACAAAUGUUGGAGCCAUGAGAAUACAUUAACUGCUGGUGAAUGGAAGGAGUGACUCAAAAGAAAAUUUGCUAUGACAUGUAAAGGUCGCUUUUGGACUUUAAAUUCCAUGAAGUUAAAAAACGUCCUUUAUAGGCCUACAGGUGUAAUACCAACUUAGAAAAAAGUCGCUGAGUUUUCAAUAGGUCAAAAUAAUUUGUUACUAAUUGUGGUUGGGGCAUUUUUAAUUAAAGUGUUU